rnacentral:rRNA from 1 species
GACGAACGCUGGCGGCGUGCUUAACACAUGCAAGUCGAACGGUGAAGCGCCUUCCUUUUUGGUGGGUGUGGAUGAGUGGCGAACGGGUGAGUAACACGUGAGUAACCUGCCCCCUUCUUCUGGAUAACCGCAUGAAAGUGUGGCUAAUACGGGAUAUUCUGGGUCUGUCGCAUGAUGGGUCUGGGAAAGAUAUUGUUUCGGUGGGGGAUGGGCUCGCGGCCUAUCAACUUGUUGGUGGGGUGAUGGCCUACCAAGGCGGUGACGGGUAGCCGGCCUGAGAGGGUGGACGGUAACAAUAGGACUGAGACACGGCCCAGACGCCUGCGGGAGGCAGCAGUGGGGAAUAUUGCACAAUGGGAGGAAGACUGAUGCAGCGACGCCGCGUGAAGGAUGGAGGCCUUCGGGUUGUGAACCUCUUUCGCCAGUGAAGCAGGCCUGCCUCGUUUGUGAGUGGGUUGACGGUAGCUGAAUAAGAAGCGCCGGCUAACUACGUG